UGCAAGUCGAACGCGAAAGUCCCGCANGGGAUCAGUAGAGUGGCNAACGGGUGAAUAACGCGUGGGUGACCUACCUUCGAGUGGGGGAUAACCUUCCGAAAGGAGGGCUAAUACCGCAUGACAUCCCAUGUUUGGAUACAUGGACAUCAAAGCCGGGGAUCGCAAGACCUGGCGCUUGAAGAGGGGCCUGCGUCCGAUUAGCUAGUUGGUGAGGUCACGGCUCACCAAGGCUUCGAUCGGUAUCCGGCCUGAGAGGGCGGACGGACACACUGGAACUGAGACACGGUCCAGACUCCUACGGGAGGCAGCAGUGGGGAAUUGUUCGCAAUGGGCGCAAGCCUGACGACGCAACGCCGCGUGGAGGAUGAAGACCUUCGGGUCGUAAACUCCUUUCGACCGAGAUGAAUAGUCUGCGACCUAACACGUUGCAGGCCUGACAGUAUCGAGGGAAGAAGCCCCGGCUAACUCCGUGCCAGCAGCCGCGGUAAUACGGGGGGGGCAAGCGUUGUUCGGAAUUACUGGGCGUAAAGGGUUCGUAGGUGGCCUGCUAAGUCAGACGUGAAAUCCCUCAGCUUAACUGGGGAACUGCGUCUGAGACUGGCGGGCUUGAGGGCAGGAGAGGAACGCGGAAUUCCGGGUGUAGCGGUGAAAUGCGUAGAUAUCUGGAGGAACACCGGUGGCGAAGGCGGCGUUCUGGACUGCAUCUGACACUGAGGAACGAAAGCCAGGGGAGCACACGGGAUUAGAUACCCCGGUAGUCCUGGNCCUAAACGAUGAAUGCUUGGUGUGGCGGGUAUCGAUCCCUGCCGUGCCGCAGUUAACGCGUUAAGCACUCCGCCUGGGGAGUACGGUCGCAAGGCUG
rnacentral:rRNA from 1 species